rnacentral:sRNA from 10 species
UGAAAGUCCCGGACGGAAACCGCGAAUAAGCCAUGCUUGCAUAGAGCGAAUUCACAGGCAUCGAACGGGCAAACCGGUAUGAGCAAAGAACGCGAUAGCGCGAAUAGCGAAUGCAGGCAACGAUAGCGGGAGCACCAAAGGUACAGAGCAAUCGGAUAACA